rnacentral:misc_RNA from 1 species
AGAAAACCCCCACAUACACCGAUAAACGUACGUACGCCCUUGGGUGAAACGCUUUGCCGACACAAACACACACAUUCACACAGAGAGCCUCACACAAGCCGAGGCACACUCAUGAACUUCCAAGCCGCACCGAACAGCGGCGGGCAGGGCGACGCUGGAGGUUCGGCGCGUGCUGCCUUCACCCCGACCUCUAUCGUGGAUAUCGAGUCCAACGAUGUGACGCGAAACGAGAUGGUGCAGAUCAUCUUGGCGUGGCUCAUCGAGGAGGGCUUUACGUCCUCAGCGCAGAUCCUGCGGGAGGAGGCGACGUGCCAGUUCCGCGGGGAGCACUACUUGCGCAAGACGUUGCGCGGGCUGAGCCGCGCCAUUGAGGAGAGCAGCUGGGAAAGUGCGCAGAAGAGCCUCAAGAAGCUGCAAACAAAGGCGGCCACAAAGAGUGGCCUGAGACCGGAGGGGUCGUCGCCUGCAGCCUUGCUGGUGCGCUCGCUGCCGUUCUUGCUGGCUCAGCAGCAGUACAUGGAGCUAGUAGAGCAGGACAACGAUCAGCGCACCUUCACCUUCUUCAUGCGCAGCAUUAAACCCUUCGAGCGCUCCAUCAGCCGAGAGCACUUCCAGAAGCUCACAUACCUGCUGACUUGUAAGACUGUGGCGGAGAGUAGCAACGUGUACCCGGAAUACCGCGGCUGGACUGCCGAGCUAGGACGCGCACAGCUCUUGCAGCACAUCCGCACGCAGGUGGGAAGCGUUGAUUACUCGAACUACUGCCGGCAUGGCAACGUCUGCAUGCCGCCGUCAGUGGAGCUGACGCGGCCGCUGCGCACCGUCUUUCAGCAGUCCUUUUCCUACGAGCUCGUGUCCCGUCAACACCCGGACCUUGUGCGGCGCCUUCAGCGCACCACCAUUACCUCCCUUUCUGCCCCACUUGAGGCGCAGCUGCCCGCCACGGAGCCCUUUCUCUCCAUCGACGCCAGCGCUCUUGUACGGAGCACCUUUUCUACCCUGGCGCCUGGCGAUGCACGGCAGUGUGUGAAGCUGACUGCGUGUCAGCCCUUUCUCAGUCACAGCGCCGUCGUGGCAGCGACGGACAACGGCGCGGUGCUGUGGAUCCCUACUGGACCUCUGAGCUGCAGCGACGUCGCAGCACCCUCGUCGGAGGCUUGCGCGGCGGACAAGCCACAGCUGCUGUACCACCACAAGCAUCCUAUACGCGACUUGAGGCGCACCGGCACCAAGCUGCUGUGUUGGGGCAGCUGUGAGACUCUCGUGCUGAACGUUCAGCCUCUCUUUGACAGCGGCAGCGUGGCGCCGGCGAACGACUGCGUCGCUUGUGUCUUGACACACGCCGCUGACGUGUACGCCGGCUGCUUCUUCCCAUGCGGGACCCUCGCCGUGACCGGGCUUUCCGAAGGCACUGUCUGCAUAUGGGAUCUAAACACCGGCACAAAGAUGUACGAGCACCUCUUCAGUAACUACGGCGUCGUGUCCCUUGUCAUGAACCGCACAGGCACCAGCUACUUCGCUGCGUCCAAGGACGGCACCAUUCGAGUCGUGGACGUGGCCACCGGCGUCCUGACGGCGUCGCUCGUGUCGCCCAUCGCGAUGGAGAUUUGCUCUUUGGCGGUGUCGCCCUCCUCGACCUUCCUCUUGGCAUCCUACCGCGGAGGGCUGAUGCGCAUGUGGGACGUUUUGACGGGUGCGCCGCUGCCGUACCGCUUCACCGGCACUGAGAACAAUACCAAAGCGCGCUCACCGACGUCGUUUGGAAACACCGACGCGGAGCUCUUCAGUGGUGGCGAGGACGGAUGCCUUUACUUUUGGACCCUUCGCUCUCGCGACCGCGCAACGAAGCCCGUCAUCCCCGCGUGCACGUCUGAGGCGCCCCGCAGCGCCAACCUCUACCUCUCGCAGGCGAGCAUCAACGUUAACCUCGUCCACUAUGCUGCGCAGCUGCCGCUGCACCGUUUGCCCAUCACCGACGUCAAGGUGGAAGGAUCAUAUGAGGUGAGUUGUGGGGAGGACGGCAUGAUUGUCUUGUGCACCACAUGCGCCAGCGCGCACGCUUAGGCUUUCCGACUUCCGCCCAGCGAGCGUUAGGGGUGGAAGAGUGACGCGCGUCCAUUUGUCUCCUCACACUGCAGACAAUUUGCACUGCAGCGCUUCCUUAAAAGCCGUAGCGUGCGACUCCACCCUCGUUGGCGCACCGCUUUUGUUUUCCAGCUUCUAUUUCCCA